GGGGCAUUUGUGAGAAGCGUGUGUGCAAAGCCUGAGAGACUCCCCUUUUGGGCAUGCUGCUGGGCAGGGGUGUUCUGGUUUGACUUUGUACAUGUUCCGUUUACAUCUUCAUUCCAUUUUGAGUUGAUUUUUGUAUAUGGUGAGAAAUAGGUGUCUAGUUUCAUUCUUCUGCAUGUGGAUAUCCAGCUUCCCCAGCACCAUUUAUUGAAGAAACUGUCAUUUUGGGGUAACUGCUUUCUAACAGGUCUCUGGGGUUUGGUAUUACUGCGCCAGAACCCUUUCAUAUAGCUGUCAGAGAGAUGGCAGUGGAACAGCUCAGUUUAUAUCUCUCUGCUCUUUAAACCUAUCUGAUGAUUCUUCAUUGCCAGUAGGAUAAAGUCCAAACACCUUGGCUUGUCAUAUCAAGUCCUUUCCCAUCUGGUGCCCAUCAUCCCAGCUACCUCCUCUGAUACUCUCUACCAUGCAUCCUAUGAUUGCCUCCCAAUUUUACAUUCUCUUCAUCUUCCUGAUUAAAAUAGUGAUUGCUGAUUACAUGUCCUCUCUUUUGCAGUUAGAUGUGGCCAGGUGACAAAGUUCUGUACAGUGGAAUGUAAACAGAAGUAUCAUGUGAGAGUUUCCAAGAACUUUUUCAGGAGGGAGGAAACACAUGUCCUUUGCCCUCCCUUUUUGUUUGCUGCCUUCUCCAUCCUAUAGCCUGGAAUACAGACAUGAUGGCUACCAUCUUGGACUAUGAACAUGAGGAUCACACCCAAGGGAAGGAGAGGCAGCAAGCUGGAAGGUACUAUGGAGCAGAACUGCCACAGCCUGAGUACCUACCUCUGGAACUUUCUGUGAGAAAUGAAAUGGGCCCAACAGUUCCAUAAACAGUUGUUUUGGGAUAAACAUAGAAAUGGCCCCUAGCUUGAAAUUUGCAUUUGUUUUAUCUGAGUUCCCUCCUCAGGAAAGGACCUUCAGGCCUCUCAAAAAAGUAUCAAGAGAACUGACACCAGAUGCCUCCUUGCCCCUCCCUAGUUCCUGUUUUCUUAAACAUUGUUACAUAUCUUCCCUGCUAUGUAAGCCCCUAGAUUUAGUCAGUCAGGGAGAUGGAUUUGAGACUGAGCUCUCAUAACUUGGCUGCAGCACCCGAUUAAAGCCUUCUUCCUUGGCAAUACUUAUUGUCUCAGUGAUUGGCUUUCUGUGCGUCAGUACCUAGACUGAACCCCUGGUGUUUCCAUAACUUGGUCAAGCCACUGUUAUUCUGAGUAUCUGUCCCUUG
rnacentral:lncRNA from 10 species